UUUCCAAUGAAACAUGACACAUUAAAAAUCACUACUUACAUAGAUUUUAGUUAUCCUUACCCUCGAGCACAUACUUAAUCAUAGUCACCAUUCACUAGCUCACAUUUAAUCAAUUAAAACAACAUUUUGAAUGUAGUAACAUGCUUUAGAGAAUUCUCUCAAUUCCUUACUAGAUAGGCACUCAAUUUUCACUCAGAUUUUUUGACUACACACCCUACACUAGUUAUAUGUGAGAAGAUUGAUAUAAAUAUGUAGACGAACACUCACAUAUAUGUAUAACAAAGAAAGCAUUUUCUGGAGUUAUUAAGCAUGCUCAGUUAUGAUCUCAUGAAUGGAAUGCUACUACUUAGACGCAAGAACCAGUGACACCAUAUGCUCAUACCAAUCCCAAACUCCACAUAUUGAAACACACAACAACCAAGAUAAGAGUCUAAGGGUUGUAAUGGGGCUAAGGGUAUUGGCUAACAAAGAAAGGUUAAAGAUAAACAAAGGUUCUUAAAGCGAUAGCAAGCAAAGUUAUGAAAUCAACUUAGAAUUCACUUUAGAAUGCAGAAAUCAACUUUUAUGAAAUCAACUUAGAAUUCACUUUAGAAUGUAGAAAUCAACUUUUAAACACAAGGGAAGAUUCAUGCAACACUUAGGGUCAAAUUCAAGCUUUUUGGACCCUUUUUUCAACAACCAACACUUUAGAGCUCUUUUUCACAUAUUUUUCAACUCUUCUUUAUUCUUUUCACAACUUUUCUUUUUUUUUCUUUCUAUUUUCCACGAAUUUUUUUUUCUUUUUCUUUUCUACCCGUGCCUCUUUUAAGACUUUGGCACACACACACACACACAAAAAUCCCUUCCCCCACACUUGUUUUUCUGCAAUAUGUUUGAUCAAAAGGAAUUCCGUCUAAGUCAUGCUUCACUAUCCUUUAAGAACAAGGGUAUGGGUAGUCCUAAUCUAGGCUA
rnacentral:lncRNA from 1 species